CCCCAAUUGCCUAACCCUUACAACUCUUUUGCUUUAGAACUGAUAUUUAGCAGAAAUUUUAAGAUACAAGGUAAGAAGAAAGAAAGAAAGAAAGAAAGAAAGAAAGAAAGAAAGAAAGAAAGAAAGAAAGAAAGAAAGAAAGAAAGAAAGAAAGAAAGAAAGAAAGAAAGAAAGAAAGAAAGAAAGAAAGAAAGAAAGAAAGAAAGAAAGAAAGAAAGAAAGAAAGAAAGAAAGGAAGAGAGAGAGAGAGAAGAAAAAAGAAAGAAAGAGAAAGGAAGGAAGGAAGGAAGGAAGGAAGGAAGGAAGGAAGGAAGGAAGGAAGGAAGGAAGGAAGGAAGGAAGGAAGGAAGGAAGGAAGGAAGGAAAGAAGGAAGGAAGGAAGGAAGGAAGGAGGGAGGGGAGGGAGGGAAGGAGGGAAGGAGGGAGGGAGGAAGGAAAGAAGGAAGGAAGAAAAUUCUCAUAGCUUGAGGAGGAAGGAGAUAAAUGAUCUUGUGAAAAGUGCCCACCUGCACACAGAUUAUAUUUGACUCUUGUCACUCAUUAUGCAAUGCAGAUCUCAAGUCACACUACAGAGCUACUGAGGACAAAGAUCAAAGGUUUUAUAGAAAGGAGGAAGAGGAGGUAUCUAGCUACUGUAC
rnacentral:lncRNA from 1 species